GAUGAACGCUGGCGGCGUGCCUAAUACAUGCCAGUCGAGCGAACGGACGCUAAGCUUGCUUCUCUGAUGAUUGCGGCGGGCAGGUGUGUAACACGUGGAUAAAACACCUAUCAUAGUGGGAUAACUUCGGGAAACCGGAGAUAAUACCGGAUAAUAUUUUGAACCUCAUGGUUGAAAAGUGAAAAACGGUGUUGCUGUAACUUAUAGAUGUAUCCGCGCUGCAUUAGAUAGUUGGUGAGGUAAAGGCUUACCACGGCAACGAUGCAUAGCCGACCUGAGAGGGUGAUCGGCCACACUGGAACUGAGACACGGUCCAGACUCCUACGGGAGGCAGCAGUAGGGAAUCUUCCGCAAUGGGCGAAAGCCUGACGGAGCAACGCCGCGUGAGUGAUGAAGGACUUCGGUUCGUAAAACUCUGUUAUUAGGGAAGAACAUAUGUGUAAGAAACUGAGAACAUCGUGACGGUACCUAAUCAGAAAGCCACGGCUAACUACGUG
rnacentral:rRNA from 1 species